UGCAUAUCCUCUUAUUGAGAAUUAAGCAGCAACCAACCAAACUCUUGUAAAUUAACCCAUUAGUCACUCUUGGUUUUUGCUUCAAUAUCUUGCCGGUGAAACCAAACUAAUGUUUAGACUUAACUAUGUGUUCUUCUUUCAUUUGUUUUUAUUUUCUAAAUUGCUUUGUUCACCGAAUCACGAUUUAAUUUCAAUAACGGUUUUAACAAACCCGAAUUAGUUUGAAAACUUUCCUCAAAACAAAAACUCAAAACCCAAAUUAGUUUUGCUUUUUGAAAAUUUCAAUACAUAAAAUAAAAAACAGUGCGUGAGGAAAUAAUUGAUUGGUAAAUUCAGAUUGAAAUUUACAGUAUUAUGAGUUUAUUGUGUUCGUUGAUUACGGAUUUCAGCAGCGACAGUCGACAGAAAGAAUCUAUUGCGAUAUAUGUCUGUUGAAAAUUCAGAUUGAGCUGUUAGGAACACGUUAACAUUAACAGCAUGAUUCUAUCUAUGUAUGCAUAAAUCUACAUGUUUCAUUCGUCAAAAGAAGGUACAUAUUUGUGGCGAUACUUACAAGGCCAAAAUUUGAGAUUUCCGGUGAUACAAAAGUAGAGAAACCUUAUGGAUCGACUCAAUGGUUCUGCCAAUCUAAUGAUAGUUUCAGAUCUUGAUUACACAAUGGUAGAUCAUGAUGAUCCAGAAAACCUUGCUCUUCUCAGGUUUAAUGCACUAUGGGAAGCUUAUUACCGGCAUAAUUCUCUGCUAGUUUUUUCCACUGGGAGAUCACCUACUAUAUAUCGGGAGUUAAGAAAUCAGAAACCUUUGUUGACUCCUGAUAUAACGAUAAUGUCUGUGGGAACUGAGAUUACAUAUGGUGAAUCCAUGGUACCGGAUGACGAGUGGAAGGAGUAUUUGGAUUGUAAAUGGAACCGGGACAUAGUUAUGGAGGAAACAGCCAAGUUUCCUGAGUUAAUUAGUCAAUCAGAGACAGAGCAACGGCCUCACAAGGUUAGCUUCUACUUGGAGAAAGAGAAGGCAUCAAAAAUCAUGCAAGCUCUCUCAAAAUGUUUGGAAAAACGUGGGUUAGAUGUGAAAAUAAUCUAUAGCAAUGGUAUUGCUUUGGAUAUAUUACCCCAAGGUGCUGGAAAAGGACGUGCUCUUGCUUUUCUGCUUGAGAAAUUAAAAGCUGAUGGACUAAGACCACUCAACACUCUUGUUUGUGGUGAUUCUGGAAAUGAUGCUGAACUUUUCGGUGUACCUGAAGUGUAUGGUGUCAUGGUCAGUAAUGCGCAAGAAGAAUUGGUUGAAUGGUAUGCAGAAAAUUCAAGGGACAAUGCACGAAUAAGUCAUGCAACAGAGAGAUGUGCAGAUGGUAUUAUACAAGCCAUUGGUAACUUCUCUCUAGGUCCAAAUGUGUCUCCAAGAGAUAUUAGAGACUCAAUGUUGAACACUAAAAAUCUUAGUCCUAGCCAUGAAGUAGUGAUGUUCUAUCUAUUUUAUGAGAGAUGGAUGCGUGGAGACAUUGAGAAUUCUGAGCAGUAUAUACAAAAUCUUAAAUCAAUAUUUCAUUCCACUGGAAAUUUUGUCCAUCCCUCGGGAGUUGACCGACCUAUGCAACAAAUUAUAGAUACUUUACCAAAGCUGUUUGGUGAGAAGCAGAGCCUAGACUUUCGGGUUUGGGUUGACCAUGUAUCUUAUGCAGAGGUUAGUUUGGGCUCAUGGCUGGUCAAAUUUGACAAGUGGGAGUUAUCUGGGAAUAAGUUAAGGUGUUGUUUAACAAAGGUUUUGAUGAAUUCAAAGGUUCUAUUGGAACAUCAACUGGCACUGUUAAUUCAUGUUCAGUACUAACCUCUUCUAUAUUUCCAAAAUCUGAGUUGUGCUCUUGAACUUGUGGCUGAUGGGAAUAAUUUUUUUCCUUGAGUAAACUUGAGAAAACCUUGGGGACUUCUUUGACACACCGAUCGGAGCAAUACUGUAAUUACUAUUUGGGACAUCAGAAUUUGUUUUGGAUCAUCAUUAGAAAAUUUUGCAGCGGAAUCGGGAGCUUUGUCAGAAUUAGUAGCUUUAGGAGUAGCACACAAAGGGGCUGAAAAUUCAAAAAACUCACAAGGACUAUCUUCUAUCUUUGAAAUCUCCCCCUGAAGAGAGGACUUGAAGAAGAAAGGUUUGUUCGCUGAGAAAGUUACAUCUGCAGAUACAUACCAUUUCUACGACGAUGGAUGAUAGCAUUUAUACCCUUUUUGAGUGUAUGAAUAGGCAAGGAAGACACACCUUACAGCUCGUGGAUCAAGUUUAUUUCUAUAUUGUUUGUGAACAUGGACUAAAGCUGUACACCCAAAUAUCCUAGGUAUUAGACCAUUUGAGGUCCUAAAAUGAGGAUAAAAACUGUUGAGGACUUCUUCAAUGUGGCUUUUGUUGUCAAGAAUCCGCGUUGGUAUCUGAUUUAUUGUAUAUGAGGCAGCAAGAACAACUUCUCCCCAAUAAGAUUUGGGCACAUCUCCUUGAAAUAGUAAAGCUCAAGUGGUAUUGAGAUGAUACACCAAAUGGAUUUUCUUGGAUGCACUUACAUCAGACAUGGUUAGAUGGCUCAGAAGGAAAGGAUGACACACCUUGGUUUAUCU